CACAUCUGUCAUGUCACUCUAUCACGUCCCGAAAGGAAAAUAAUACCGGUAAAUGGUAUCUGUUCCUGUUCUUCCAGGAGAAAAACAUGGCUGCUUCGUUAGCUAAAGCUACAGUACUAGCAAGAGGCAAAGAUGAAGUGUAUGUGGCAGCAACGCCACUAAGAGCCACAAAAGGACCCGCUCAGCUGCUUAUGUCUACUACUUACUCUCUCAACCUCUGGGAUUUGCAGCACUUUGUGGUUAUCAUCAAACCCAAUUUACCUGUACCUCCUCAAAAUUCUCAGGUUAUUGUUUUUGAUUUUCAGCCAAAAGAUCCUGAAAAUAUCUACACUGCACUUGCAGUUCUAUCAGGUAGAGCAGUACCAGGAGUUGUUCUUGUGCGGAAAUUGUCAAAGCUACCGCGAAGAAAAUGCUGGUUUGUUGGAUCCUCGAAGUUAGAUGCUGUAGAUGUUGCAACUAAAUUUAACAGUGACUGGAGAACGGAUUUGAGGGUUGGCCAUCACGACUGUCGUGAUUAUACAAAUGGAUUGGUAGAGCUUCUCAUUGGUGAAAAACAAGUGUUAGAGCGUCUAAGAAAAGACCGUGGUGAUCAGGGUUAGGGCACCGUGUACUGAAAAGGCUAUACGAAAGUUACAUGGGCAAAAUAUCUUCUUUUAUUUGUCAAAGAAUCUGUUUCGACAAUGCUCCGGUAAAGAAAUCUCCCUGCAAUAUUGUUGGUGUAUACUAGCGCAAGGCACACAAGCUUGAUAAAUUCCAACUCGUCUUUCGCCAAGAAUAGUUGAUUGUGUAAUCAAGGCUUGAGAGCUACCAUUGCAGUGCAUUUUCUUUCUACUCUACUGGGGUUGCCAUGUUCCUGUCAGUGUUGCUUUUAACCUACUUCUUUCUUUGGUCUCAGGGCCCUCUUUUACCAAAGAAAAUAUAAAACGUCCCAGUCAUAUCCAUAAAGAUGAGAGAAAUUGCUGUCAUUCAUUGAAAGCAUGGAUCAGUCAUGCAUGCGUUGCACACACGCCUGGAAGGGAUGUUGGGGCUGUGGUGAAGGAAAUAUGUAAAAGAAGUUAUGGUGGGAGAUUUUCCACUGGUCAAGUUUUGCUACUUGUCAGUCAAGCUUUUCUGAGUAUAAUUUCAUAUCAAAGAUUGAUGAAGACAAAAUAAAAGGCAUUAGCCAUUAGGCAUAGGAUACGAGGGUAGUAUUGGUUAGAUGGUCGAAACAAGGAAAAAGGUCAUCAAAAAGCAGACUACUUUGCAAGUUUUCAUAUCGGCAAAUCUUCAAGGAAAGAAAUCUGUUCAAAGGGAAUCUUUCAUCAUGGGUGCUGCUAUUUUUUCUAUUGGGCCACGGUGGGAUGUUUUGGGUGACCUACUCUUAGAUAAAGGCUUCUUUCCCAUAUACAUCGAAUGUUUGGUAAAGAAGCAUGAGUUCAAUUUUCAACAUUGUUUUGUGUUAGUGUACAGUUGUUAUGUUGAUGGUGGGUUGGUGCCUGUUGAAAAAUUAGCCGAGUUCUGGUGCCUCUUUUUAGGUAGCUGAUAAUUAAGAGGCUGUUUCAAGUACUAUUUGUCUUGCCUAACCUCCUCCUAUUUUUAUAAUCUCGAUUCAACAAGAGAAAAAACGAGAUACUGCUCGGCCGAUCUAGCUUUGUAAACAGGAUUUUAUUUAGUUAGUCUGAACCAGUCAAAGUUUGGCCAAGACAAGUAGCAUGAUUUAGGCCAUUCAAGCAUGAUUUCUAAUUUCUCUCGGCAAGAUUUAGCCUGCAAAACCUUGCAGUAAGUAAUUUCCGAUGAUACGAUGAGUGGUCCGGUCCUUGUUGAUAAUCAUUUAGCACAUUCAAGAGGAUUAUUGAACAUUGGAAUUGAAUGAAUAUUCGUUUGUGUUGUGAUU